CUGAGUGAUCGUGUGUCAGGGAUCUCAUUCUUUAUGGAUGUCAGUCCAGCCACUUGCUUAAUUUGCAACAACGGACGGAUGCCCGCCCUCCCAGUCUAUCCGGCCUGCAGCUGUGGGGCUCAGCUUCCAACACGCUUCCCUCCAAGGCAACGUGCUACCACGAAGGACUGAAAAAAUCCCACUGCUGUGCAUGCAAGGCAGAAAAACCAACAGCAACAGAGGAAGCCGCAUGUACAAGGAUGAGGGGAGAGCUGACCAACCAAGCAUGGGAAGGAGGAAGAUAAGAAGAACCCUACCCACUGAUGGGAGCAGAAACCAAAACAAACAUCCUUGGGAAACCACAGGUCAUUAUCUAGAUAUGCACAUCAAGACCCAGAGAUGAGAGCAAUCAGCGCAGCUUCAAAAUCGCCAACACCCAGCCCCCUGCCUCCUUCCACCCAACCUUGCUGCAGAGCACGAACUCUCACUAGGACACACCCGACAUUCAGCACCGCACGGCAGGCAGGGGCAGGAGCUGAAUGUUGACAGCUUGUCUGCGGUAGGGAUGGCGUGUCUUACUCCCACAGAGACUCUAUCAGGAGAAAAAUACUGAAUAACUCCUACCUCAGUACAGUGAGGUUAAAUCCAAUUUAGUGGUUUUGCAAAAACUUGAGGCUGGCCAAUCAGAGUAAUGAAUACAAAUGGCAUUCCGGUUAUGUUUACUUUACCACAAUAAAAAAGGUUUUAAUUGGCAUUCCAAGGAGUUGGUUGAACUUAAAUGCUUAGCCAUUGAAAACCAGUGUUCUACCCCCAUACAUGCUGAUAGCUACAUUCUUCAAAAACCAACUUUUUUCCUUCUAACAAUAUUUAUGUAAUUGAGACAUGUAUUCCCUUUGAUUCGGGGAUCCCACUUCUAGAAAUGUGUCCUACAGAUAUAUUCAUGCAUAAAGGCAAUGACGAUCUACAGAUAAGAAUGUCUACUCAAGCAACAUUUGCAACAACCAGAAAUUUUAAAUAUCCUAAAUGAUCAUCAGUGAAGAUCUGGUAAAAAUAAAUUAUGGUACAGCUAUAUAAUGGGAUUUUACAGACUUUUUAAAAAAAAAGAAUAUUUAUGUAACUGAUAUUAAAAGCUGUCCAAGAUCUACUGCUGAAUGACAAAGAGGAGGUAGCUAUGGUAUACCACCAUUUGCCUUAAAAAACAAAGUUAUGUACACAUACACACAUGAAUAUUCAUAAAGGCAUAUGCAUGGUAUACAUACCUAUAUAUGAUAAGCAUCGAGGGAGGACAUCCAAUUCAAAAUACAUACUUACAUGUUAUAAUUUUAUUUCAGGGAAUAUGAGGUCA